ensembl:lncRNA
GGGUAAGGCGUGUGGCCAUGUUUCCACUACUACCAAGCAAGGAACUAGUACUCAGACACAGGACUGUUUGAGGCCAAAGCAUUGUCUUCACAAAUAAAGGACCGUGAAUAGAUACAAUUACCUCAGACGACAUCAGUGAGCAUGGGAUAUCUCAAAGUGACAACCCAUGAGCACAGAAUGCAGAGGAAAAGGACUUUUUUUUUCCCACUACCACAUUUCACUUCAACUCCAUGAGGCUGAGAGAGGGGACAGUCUACAUUCAUGACAUCAGCAUGCAGUAAGGACAAUCAAGUGCUGGAUUGACAGAUGAAGUGUCUGAGCAGAAGGAGAGAGUGAACUCCACAGAAGACACAUGGUCUGUCUGCUUCCCUGCUAAAUCCACGGAUUACAAGGAUGAAUGCUUGAAGCCAGGGAGACCUGCCGUCACUGGGGAACGCUCAACCUCAGAAGCCAGCAAUUAUUCUCUAUGGCUUCAACAAAGAACAGCUGCCCUUCAGAAGACAGAACCUGGGUGGAGACUUAAGCCAUGAAAAUAAAUAAUCUGGCUGUGUGCAGGGGCCCAAUCUGGAGGCUGAAGCCAAAGGAAGUAGAGUUUUGAGGGCAUUGUGAGUUACAUAGCAUGUUUGAGGCCGGCCGGAGCUACAUGGCACCAGCAGGCUUGAGAGAUGGCCUUACACAAGCAAGAGGAUCUGUCCUCUUCAUUGGGACCUAGACUCAGAAAGAGUUCUGUGACGAAUCCAGCUGACCAAGAAACCUGUGGAGGAGGAAGAGAAGGUAUUCCAAGCAGUGGAGUAAUCUGGGCAAAGUCAUGGAAUGAUGACAAAUUCUGGGACAUAGAGGUGACAGAGUCAGACUCCUGUGUGGUCCCUAUGCUAGUAAGGCAUAAUAGUGACCAGCUGAGAGGUAGACAACCUCAGGUGGUGUUAGACAAACCCAAGUUCAAGAACGGACACUGCACCAGUUCCAUCUUUCUGGCUUCACUCCCUGAAAAGCAAGGGCUGGGAGGAAGAUGGGAAGAAGUAUCCUCUCCCUCAGGGUGCCCUCGGCAAAGAUGGAGGAUAGCACCCAGAAGCUCUGAGGAGGCUUGUGUUUAAAGAGAAAACACUGAAACGGCUGUGUCUUUGCUUCAGCUUGCUUGAACCACAAUAUUUAUUUGGAAUUUGAAACUCAUUAAGAGUGGCUGUGAAGUGUUUACCCAGGGUAACUUGGGUUAUCAAGAGACUGAGAAAGUUUGACUGAAAUGACCCUGAAUCCCUUCUGAGCCUUCAGUGUGCCAGAGGUCUGCAACACAGGAAGCACAGGGAGACACUGUGAGACUUGGAAGUUGCUGUUGGUCUCCAACUCCAGCUCACACUUUGCCAUUCAGUCCCUGUGCAGGUUAAAGUCCUGGGAUAUCUGGAGUGUCAGAUGCUUCCUUCAUAACAACCUGGUAUCACAGACUUGUGGGCUUAUUUCAAAUAAGCAGUACUUGGCACAUAACAGGUCCCAGCCAAGUACAAAGCUGUGCACAAAGCUAGCCAAGGCUUCCCUCAGUAGCCUACUCCUUGGUCAGAAUAAGGUCCUUUUGAAUGCUUCCCAUGGGAUGUUCCCCUGCCCCCAAAUACACUAUCAGGUCUCGUUUAUAAGGAGAUAUAAUGUGGGUUUGGGCCUCAGAAUAUAGCUUCAAUGAAUUUUGGGAAUUUAGGUAUGUGCUUGGAACCACUCCAAGGUUAAAAAUCUUUUAAAAACUAAAGCAUUAUUAAAAUUAUCCUGAAAAUCUUAUCCACUGUGUUUUGAUGUCCAUCCAUUCCCA